CCCGCCACCCCCGCCACCCCGUGACUGUCACAGCCUCUGUUGCCCUGUGAUCUGCAGGUCCUGGGACAUGCACAGCUAAGAUGCCAAAGACAUCCUGGAAGGUGGGAAAGGGGGAUAUUGUGAAAUGUCACUAGGCCUAAUAGUAAGGUGACAUUACUCUUGUCAUGGCACUGCCAUCAGAAGAAGGCAUGGUGACGUAUUUCUGGGCCCAGAACAAAUGUGAUAUGAGUCUCCUGUCUGGAUCCUGCUUACAAGCACUUGAGUGAUCUCUCUUGCCUAAAACCAGCCCACAGAUGGAAUAGUGACAUAUUGCUGAACCCAGAACUGAGGGGAUAUGACUCUAUUUCUCUACAUUGGUGCUGCUCACAGGGGGCAUUGUGACAUAUCGCUGGGCCUUGCACUUAGGUGAUGAGAGUCUCCUCCCCUGCCUCAGUACUGCCCACAGAAUGCAUUGUCACAUAUCUCUGGGCCCCACACCCAGGUUUUGUGACUCUCCUGCCUGUCCUCUGACCACAUAAGCAAUUGUGACAUAUUGCUGGGUCCAACACCUUGGUAAUGCAACUCUACUGCCCACAAGGAGCAUUGUGACAUGUAUUUUCACACCUCACCUUCAUGAUAUGACUGUCUUCUACCUGAUGCCUGCUCACCAGGGGAGUUUGUGAUAUAUCAUGUGGCUCCGUACCAAACAAUGUGAUUCUUCUUCCAUCAUAAGUUCUGCUGGCAAGGGAGACUGAGACAUAUUGUGGAGCUCUACACCAAUGUGACAUCACUGUUUUGCCUUGGCCUGGACUUGAAAAGGCAUUGUGACAUAUUGCUGGGCCCAGCAACAAGGUGACAUGAGUCUUCUGUAUGGACCGUAACAACAGAGCAUUGUGACAUUUCUUUAAGAGCAUCAACUAUUUGAUGUGACUCUCCUUUUAUACCAAGACUUUCCUCAUAUGAGAGAUUGUGACUUAUCUUCUGGCACAGAAAAGUGAUGUGUUUCUCCUGCCUGAGCUUUGUUUACAGGGAACAUUGUGACAUAUCACUGGUCUCAGCACCCAGGUGAUGUGACUCUACUGUCUAUGCCCUGGUUUCAGGAGAAAAUCUAUGUGCCUGACUAAGCACCCAGUUUUUAACUCUUCUGCCUUGUGCCUGUUCUCAGAGAAGAUUGUGACAUAUACCUGGCCUAUUACGCAGAUGAUAUAAGUCUUCUGUUCUCUCCCUAUCCACAGGGGAGAUUGUGACAUAUGUCUUUGUUCAGAUUAUAGGUGCGAUGUUGACUCUCAUAUUUGAAAUCAGUCAACAGGAAACAUACUAUCUCUCAUAUUGGGCUUAGGAAAAUGGGUAAGAUUCUGGCUCUCCCCUUUGCAGGAAGGUCAAAGAAAAUUACACUCUCUCACAUAUUGUAUAAAGCCCUCAAGUGGUACAGAGACUGUCGUAACAGGGUCCAGAAAACAGAUGAGAUUGUUUUAUAUACACACAGUUUCCCAGUUGUUAAGAUUGUCACCCUCAUCCAUGGACAAAGGCCACUGGUGAGGUCUUAAAUCUUACAUGUGGAUGCAGUGCAGAGUUAAAAUUGUGACUGUCAUAUGUGAACAUCAGGUAACAUGAGGUGGUGACUCAGUAAGCCUAGCUUAUAGGCAGGUGACAACUCUCAUAUCUGGACCCAGCCAUUACAGAGAUGUUAACUCUCAUAUCUGGGCAUAGAGCCACAGGUAUGAUCAUGGGUCCAUAGCAGCACAAAUGUCUCCCGGUCACAAAAGAUUGCAACUCUCAUGCAUACCUUAUAAAUUCCUCGAUUGGUACAGAGAGUGUUCUAACUAGACUCAGUGUACAGUUGAGGUUUUGACAUUCAUGUACACCCAACUGACAGUAAAGAUUAUCAUUUUUUCACAAGAACAGUCCACUGGAGGUUCUGAAUCUCAUAUGCAGAGACAGUCGCAAGUUGGAAAAUUUACUCUCGUAAAUGAAUCCAGUCCAAAGGUAAGUUGGUGACUUUCAGACCAAGAUUGAACACACCUGUUUGUCUGAUUCCACUAAGGUGACACAGCCAGUAAGAGGGAUUGAGUUUCUCAUUAAGUGAUUCAAUUCGUUCUAAAAAUUGUGACUUGUGUACUUAGAUCCAACAUACAGGAGGUGUUGACUCUCAUACAAAGAAUUAGGGUGUGUAUAGGAUUGUUAAUCUCAUCUCAGGUCUUUCCUUCAGGUGCGAUUUUGACACACUUCUGCCCAGUACCUGAGUAAUGUGAUUCUUCAGAAUUGGCCCAGCCUAGAAAUAGGAUUGUGCCAUACUGCUGAACCCAGCACCUAAGUGAUAUAACUAUUCUUCUCCCUUGGGUGCUACCCGAAAAAGACAUUAUAACAUAUCUCAGAGCCUUGUACCCAGGUAUUGUGAGUCUCCUCUCCUGCCUUGCUGCUGCACACAGAAGCGGGAUAUGUACAGGAUUGUUAAUUUCAUCUUGGACCUUCCUGUACGUGUGACUGUGACACAUACCUCUGUGUAGAACCUGAGUGAGUUUACUCUCCUGUCUGGAUUUAAACCAAAGAUGGAAUCAUGACAUAUCGCUGGAUCAGAAACUAGGUGAUGUGACUCUAUUUUCUUGCCUUUGUGUUUUCAUAUGGGACAUUGUGACAUAUCACUGGACCUUGCAUCCAAGUGAUGGGUGUUUUCUCUCCUGCUUUGGUGCUGUCCACAGUGAGAAUUGUGAAAUACCGCUGUCAUCCCCUGUGGGGAAAAGAAAGGUCAGCCUGUUACUGUGUUUAUAUAGAAAGAAGUAAAUUUAAGAGACUCCAUUUGGCUCUGUAUUUGAGAUGCUGUUAAUCUGUGACC